CGUGUGUCCACCAACAUGGUCCUGAUUCAAAUGGAACUGCUUUCUGGAUACAGCCCCAUGGCAAGUUCACUGGAAGAGCUAAAGAAAAUGCCUUUAGUGAAGAAAGUUGAAAGUGAAGCUGACCGAGUUAUUCUCUAUCUGGAUGAAGUGAGUGAAUUUAGUCUAAUGUGG